AGCAGCUAGAAGCUCCAGAAGAGGCUGAAACAUCAGAGCGAAUAUCCAAGACAAAGAAAAAGCCAAGCAUCUGGAAGAAAAUUAGGAUGAGUCAACAAGUGAUGAGCCAGAUCAACCAAUCAACGUCACUGCAGCUGUUCUACCCACCACCCCCACUGCUCUUCCUCCACCACCAACCUCAUCCUCUUCUCCUGUUCAACUCAUUUGCCGCCACACUAGAAAGGACUGGACAUACAGUCGAAGUCGCAAGUUACAUACACUUAGGUUGGAGUCAUUAAACGUUAUGAACUGAGAGAAAACAGGACCUACCUUUGUUGAUGAUCUUAUAGCCCUCCUCAGCCUCUCUCUGAUAUGUUCUCUCUGUCUUUUUGAGGUUCCUCUUCUCCCACUUCUUAGUCACCCAGGCCACAGCUCUCCUUCAGAUACUUUUAUAGGGUGGAACAAGGUCUAUGGUCUAAAAUAGAUGUGUAUAGUUGACUCCUCUGC
rnacentral:lncRNA from 1 species